UGGGGAAUUUUGGACAAUGGACGCAAGUCUGAUCCAGCCAUGCCGCGUGCGGGAAGAAGGCCUUCGGGUUGUAAACCGCUUUUGUCAGGGAAGAAACGAGUUUCUCUAAUACAGAGACUUAAUGACGGUACCUGAAGAAUAAGCACCGGCUAACUACGUGCCAGCAGCCGCGGUAAUACGUAGGGUGCAAGCGUUAAUCGGAAUUACUGGGCGUAAAGCGUGCGCAGGCGGUUAUGCAAGACAGAUGUGAAAUCCCCGGGCUCAACCUGGGAACUGCAUUUGUGACUGCACAGCUGGAGUGCGGCAGAGGGGGAUGGAAUUCCGCGUGUAGCAGUGAAAUGCGUAGAUAUGCGGAGGAACACCGAUGGCGAAGGCAAUCCCCUGGGCCUGCACUGACGCUCAUGCACGAAAGCGUGGGGAGCAAACG
rnacentral:rRNA from 1 species